CGGUAACAGGCCCUUCGGGGUGCUGACGAGUGGCGGACGGGUGAGUAAUACGUAGGAAUCUGCCUUGUUGAGAGGGAUAGCCUAGGGAAACUUAGGGUAAUACCGCAUAAGCCUGAGAGGGGAAAGCCGGGGAGCCGCAAGGUCCUGGCGCGAUGAGAUGAGCCUACGUCGGAUUAGCUGGUUGGUGGGGUAAAGGCCUACCAAGGCGACGAUCCGUAGCUGGUCUGAGAGGACGACCAGCCACACUGGGACUGAGACACGGCCCAGACUCCUACGGGAGGCAGCAGUGGGGAAUAUUGGACAAUGGGCGGAAGCCUGAUCCAGCAAUGCCGCGUGUGUGAAGAAGGCCUGAGGGUUGUAAAGCACUUUCAGUGGGGAGAAAGAGGCUGUCGCUAAUAUCGGCAGUGGAUGAUGUUACCCACAGAAGAAGCACCGGCUAACUCUGUGCCAGCAGCCGCGGUAAUACAGAGGGUGCGAGCGUUAAUCGGAAUUACUGGGCGUAAAGGGUGCGUAGGUGGUUUUGUAAGUUAGAUGUGAAAUUCCUGGGCUUAACCUGGGGACUGCGUCUGAUACUGCGAAGCUAGAGUACUGUAGAGGGAAGUGGAAUUUCCGGUGUAGCAGUGAAAUGCGUAGAUAUCGGAUGGAACAUCAGUGGCGAAGGCGACUUCCUGGACAGAUACUGACACUGAG
rnacentral:rRNA from 1 species